GGAAGGAUCAUUAACACGUAUCCAACGUUAAACCCCCCGUGAACGUACAUUUGUUGCUUCUCCGGUUACGCGAAACAAUGGUUGCAAUCCCUGGUAAAUCAUCGCCGAACAGUUUUGAUUCAGGGACUUCAAGCACGUAACUGUCCUGACAAAAGAGGAGAUCCCGAGCUAGCUUUACUUGACUCGGUGAGUGGGUUCGACUAUCCCAAGGUAUGGCGUGCUUUCGAUGUUGCAAAAAUAAACAUAAUCAGGGGGUUGUGAAAGUGUUCAACCUGCUUAUGUUUAUCUUUGUAAAGUAGAAAGGUCACAAGAUGCUGUAAGAUAGACCGCUUUAAUCAGCGGGUCACCAGGAGGCCGACACGGCCGGUAAUCGGAUUCUGGGCGUCGUUCCUAUAGGAACGAGUACACGUCCCACUUGACCCCUUGAAACGACAGGGCGUCCUGCAAAACGGAAGGCACAAUCACUCCACGCUUGAAAGGGCUGUGGAGAUAACGAACAACUGUUAACAAUGGAUAUCUUGGUUCUCGCAACGAUGAAGAACGCAGCGAAAUGCGAUACGUAAUGCGAAUUGCAGAAUUCAGUGAAUCAUCGAAUCUUUGAACGCAAAUUGCGCUCUCGGGUUACCCCCAAGAGCACACCUCUCUGAGUGUCGGUUUAACCAAAUGUCACCAAUUUAUUGGUGUACGACAGACUGAGGGUAAGGGGUCUCGGCUUCUUUCCUUUUAAAUUUCAGCAACACAGAUGUGUGUGUUUGUGGCAAGUUGCUUUCACUUAACUGUGAAUCCAAUCCACUAACCCUAUUUGUGGAGCCCAAAGAAACAUAUGAACAAUGUUGUGAACGAGGGUAUGAACAAGGAUGUGAACAGGGGUGUGAACUUAGAGACAUGCUUUUACGAUGAACGGGAUGGAUACGCCGGUUGAGGGGAUAAUCAGGGGGUUGUGAAAGUGUUCAACCUGAUUGUUUCCUCCUUGUGUGUUCGACCUGGUUGCUGUUUAAGUGUGACUUUGGGGGAACGGCUUUGUGAAUGUUUUUGUGAAUGUCUUUGUACAUGGCUUUGUGCAUCUAUGAAUUAGACCUCAGAUGAAGUGGGAAGACCCCCUGAAUUUAAGCAUAUUAUUAAGGGGAGGAAAAGAAACUAACAAGGAUUCCCCCAGUAACGGCGAGUGAAGCGGGAAGAGCUCAAAUUUAAAAUCCACUGGUCUAACAGCCUGUGGAGUUGUAAUCUAGAGAGGCUCUCUCAGUGCCAGCCUGGUUAUAAGUCCCUUGAAACGGGGCAUCAAAGAGGGUGAGAAUCCCGUAUUUGAGCCGGAGCUAAGUACGUACGAGGAGUUUUCUAAGAGUCGCGUUGCUUGGGAGUGCAGCGCUAAAUGGGUGGUAAAGUUCAUCUAAAGCUAAAUACUGGCGAGAGACCGAUAGCGAACAAGUACCGUGAGGGAAAGAUGAAAAGAACUUUGAAAAGAGAGUUAAAAAGUACUUGAAAUUGUUAACAGGGAAGGGGAGUCAACCAGUCAUUAUUAAGCUUCAUUCGCUUCUCCUUCGGGAGGGGUUACUUGAGGCUAAAUAGGGUCAGCAUCACUUAGGGUCUUCGGAGAAAAUGUGUGAGCUGGUGCGUUUCUUCGGAUUCGUUUAGCUUGUACAAUCUUACGUUGGCGCUGGGUGUGGAGUGAUAACCCCCCACCUUCGGGUGUCGGUUCUCUGAGGCCUGUUUGCUCUAGCGCGUGAGAGAACAAAGUUCUGUCUGUGCGAAAGGUGAAUACUGCUUUGGAUGAGCUAGAUGGUGUGGUUCGCGAUGCAGACGAAAUGGUUGUCUUCCACCCGUCUUGAAACACGGACCAAGGAGUCUAACAUAUAUGCGAGUAUUUGGGUGACAAACCCUGAUGCGUAAUGAAAGUAAAGAGCUGCAAAGCUUGAGGUAGGAAUCUCACCCUCGGGUGGGAGGCACUAUCGACCGAUCGUUCGCUUGCGGAAGAUUUGAGUAAUAGCAUAUCUGUUGGGACCCGAAAGAUGGUGAUCUAUGCCUGAACAGGGUGAAGCCAGGGGAAACUCUGGUGGAAGCUCGUAGCGAUACUGACGUGCAAAUCGUUCGUCUGAUUUGGGUAUAGGGGCGAAAGACUAAUCGAACCAUCUAGUAGCUGGUUCCCUC
rnacentral:misc_RNA from 1 species